UCCCAAAGUAACCCAUACCGACAAAAAGGAAGCUCAAAAGAUUUGAAUUGUGGUUGUAAAUGUGUUCUUGGCAUUCACAGCAAAUCUGGAUAGUAUUUUUCUAGCUGAUUAUCUCCAGAUUUGCGUUCGUAAAUGGGAUUUGUGUUCUUGAGGCUUCAUAUAUAGAGACAGUUAAAGCUUUGGCUGAUUAUCUUCAGAAUAGUUAAAGCUUGCUCCGUGAUGGCCAUAUUCCUCACUCAUUUCACUCAAUCACCAACUGUCUCCUCCGCUUGGCUACCUUUGACACCUUGUUCAAGGGCGGCCGCUGCUUCAGCAAGCUUUCGUUCGACCAACUUUCAGUGGCAAUUUGAGGUCUUUAUUUUGUGCAUGGGAAGAAGAGGGAACGCAUGAAAUAAGGCAGACAAAUAAGAGAACAGCUACCCGUCCUCAUGGGGCUCCUAUUGGGAGACGCUUAAGCAAAUGGCAACGUGAUAUUUGUCAUUCCCUAAUUACCGGAGACGGAAGACAUUAGUUGCCCCACAGACGAGGGAAUAGAAAUUUCUUUUUGUCUUGCUGGAACAAUCGAUCUCAC